rnacentral:rRNA from 1 species
CAGUAGCCGCGGUAAUACGAAGGGGGCUAGCGUUGCUCGGAAUUACUGGCGUAAAGGGGGCGUAGGCGGACAUUUAAGUCAGGGGUGAAAUCCCAGAGCUCAACUCUGGAACUGCCUUUGAUACUGGGUGUCUUGAGUGUGAUAGAGGUAUGUGGAACUCCGAGUGUAGAGGUGAAAUUCGUAGAUAUUCGGAAGAACACCAGUGGCGAAGGCGACAUACUGGAUCAUUACUGACGCUGAGGCUCGAGAGCGUGGGGAGCAAACAGGAUUAGAGACCCCAGUAGUCCCUGUCUCUUAUACA